rnacentral:rRNA from 1 species
UACGUAGGGGGCAAGCGUUGUCCGGAAUCAUUGGGCGUAAAGAGCGUGUAGGCGGCCAGAAAAGUCCGCUGUGAAAACUCGAGGCUCAACCGAGGAACUGCAUCCGAUACUGGCGGGCUUGAAUCCGGGAGAGGGAUGUGGAAUUCCAGGUGUAGCGGUGAAAUGCGUAGAUAUCUGGAGGAACACCGGUGGCGAAGGCGGCAUCCUGGACCGGUAUUGACGCUGAGGCGCGAAAGCUAGGGGAGCAAACGGGG